CCUGAAAGACAAGCAGUCUGGUGAUAGAGAUGUGCAGCUCUCAGAAACAGGACAGUUCACCUUUUCAUCAGAGGUCUUGAAAAUCCCUUCAGAGUUAAAGAGACUUGAACUGGAGGCCAAAUGUUUGGAAUUAGAAAAUGAGAGACUUCAGCAGGAGAAACAGAUGGAAUUAGAAUCAGCAAAGGGUCAUGGAGGUAACGUGGAAGGGAAUAAACAAACCCCAGAAGCAAUAAAGUUGCAGCAGAGAGGGCUAUGAACAUCAAAGCCAACAGUGACAUACUGCUGAGGCUGCAUGGACAGGCUGAUUUCGGUUUGUCACAUUGUGAAGAAAUUGAUUGAAGCUACGGCCAGAUGAACCGAAUGGGAUGAACCUUCAACAAGAUGAAAAAAAAAUCAUGAUGGAACAAGCCCCCUGUACCUGCAAUGUGGUAGACCUUUGUCAGCAUGCAAAGUCCACAAAUGAAGUCCUCCAUGCAAUUCCCACACCUUUGCCAUAUUAUAUACAUCUCAUAACAAGGCAACUUCUCCAAGAUACAGCAGUUGUGAAUGUAGCUUUUAUUUCUCCUAAUCCCACAAAAAUGUUAUUCUAAAGAGUUCAUUGUUCCUCCUCAAAAUUGCAACAGGAGCACAUGUAUGCAUAGUCGUACUUCAUCUCAAAUGCCUUAUUAGGUUAAACAUGUGAGUAGUGAAUUAUUUCUGUUGUUUCCAUCAUCAGCCAUCCUUUGGGCUAAAAUUGGAUGUGAAGUCUCAGUAUUUUGGUAUCCACUGCAGAAUGACUGGUGAUUCUAUUAGGGAGUUGAUGGUGGGAGUCAGAUGCCUUUGUCACCUUAGGAAUGGAUGUAAAGCUAGAAGUCUUUUUCAUUUUUGUUUUGUUUUUAAGUUUCCAACAUGAAAUAUUGCCUAUUAGCUUCUUUCAGCCUCUGAUGGUUAGAAAGGCUGUGCCAUGUUUACUUUUCAUUAGUUAUUAUAUCAAUGAAUUAUGUGAAUUGUGCUUAUUUUAAGAGUUCUUAUAUCAAUAUUUGAAUGCAGUGAGUACAUUUUCAAUAGAUUUCUUCUUCAACUUGAAGUUUAUUAAGAUGCUUUAAGACUAAAGCUCAGUAACACUGUUUAAAACACAGAUCAAUAAUUUACAAUACAAUAAAACAACAUAUCAAAUAAUAAAAAUGCACAAUGACAAAAAUAAGGCACAGAAUAAAAGCUGUUAAUGGCAAAAAAUUGUUGCUGACAAAGAACCUUAAAUGUGAUUCAUGGCCAUUAAAAGACUGGUUUACCAUAUCAUUAAUAAAUGCCAGCUCAAACAGAAAUAUUUAAAAAAAAUCUACAGGAUCAGGCAAAUGUCGAGCACUCUAUCAGGAACUGUAGUAGUAGGUUCCAUAGAGGUGGAGCUCGAUAGGCAAAGGAAUGAUAUUCAGAUCUUUCCAGGCAUACACGGAGAACCAUCAACAGCAUUAA